UACGGAAGGGGCUAGCGUUGUUCGGAAUUACUGGGCGUAAAGCGCGUGUAGGCGGCAAGGCAAGUCGGAUGUGAAAGCCCACGGCUCAACCGUGGAAGUGCACCCGAAACUGCCUCGCUAGAGUCUCGGAGAGGAAGGUGGAAUGCUUGGUGUAGAGGUGAAAUUCGUAGAUAUCAAGCGGAACACCGGUGGCGAAGGCGGCGACCUGGACAGGUACUGACACUCAACUACGAAAGCGUGGGGAGCAAACAGG
rnacentral:rRNA from 1 species